UAUAAUUGAACUUGAAAAGAUAAAACAUGCAUAGUGAAGAGUUAGGAGAAAGGCUGUGAUUGUUGCCAGUUGCCACUACAAAUUUUAACGGCUUAUUGCAAGUCAACUUAGUGAUUUGAAUGGAAAUAUAUGUUGAACUGUAAGGACUUUUAUAUGGGAGAGUAAAGGAGUGAGUUGUUAACUUGUUAUGUUUUAAGGAGUAAAAAAAAUGCAAUUCAAACAAGGGGUUGAAAAAGCAUCCAACAUGUGGAAGGGGUCAUUUGUAUAAUGUGAUGUUUCUAUGCCAGAUCAUACCAACUCCUGAGGGAAAAUGGAGUUUCAGCAUUAUGAAGUUUCCAGUACUGUAGCGAAGAUAUCUUGAUGUGUUCAAUACUUGUCAUUACUAACCUCCCCCUUGGAUUUGAAUUUUGCUAUGCUUGGUAGAUAAUCUUUGAAACAAGCCUCUAAUUAUGGUGGAUUGGUGUUUGAUUAUCUGGUUAUAGUAUCAUUGCAUUUCUAUUUUAAUUAAUUGUCAAAAUGAUUUUUGCUUUUACAAGGGGUUCUCUCUAUUUUGCUUUUCUGAAGCUCCUGUAAUUAUGCAAAUCAAUUGCUUAGCUAAUGGUUUUUAUGCUGAACAAUUAGGUAAAGCCAAAUCUG
rnacentral:misc_RNA from 1 species